UACGAGGGGGGCGAGCGUUAAUCGGAAUUACUGGGCGUAAAGCGUGCGCAGGCGGUUUUGUAAGUCUGUCGUGAAAUCCCCGGGCUCAACCUGGGAAUUGCGAUGGAGACUGCAAGGCUAGAAUCUGGCAGAGGGGGGUAGAAUUCCACGUGUAGCAGUGAAAUGCGUAGAGAUGUGGAGGAACACCGAUGGCGAAGGCAGCCCCCUGGGUCAAGAUUGACGCUCAUGCACGAAAGCGUGGGGAGCAAACAGG
rnacentral:rRNA from 1 species